AGUCAUUUGUUAGGGUAACAAGAGAUUUUGAAAGUCUCAAAUAAAGGUUCAACUCCUUUUUUGACUU
rnacentral:tRNA from 1 species